rnacentral:rRNA from 1 species
CUACGUGCCAGCAGCCGCGGUAAUACGGAAGGUCCAGGCGUUAUCCGGAUUUAUUGGGUUUAAAGGGAGCGUAGACGGACGAUUAAGUCAGCUGUGAAAGUUUGCGGCUCAACCGUAAAAUUGCAGUUGAAACUGGUUGUCUUGAGUGCACGCAGGGAUGUUGGAAUUCAUGGUGUAGCGGUGAAAUGCUUAGGUAUCAUGAAGAACUCCGAUCGCGAAGGCAUAUGUCCGGAGUGCAACUGACGCUGAGGCUCGAAAGUGCGGGUAUCGAACAGGAUUAGAUACCCUGGUAGUCCGCACAGUAAACGAUGAAUACUCGCAGUAUGCGAUAUAAUGUAUGCUGCCAAGUGAAAACGUUAAGUAUUCCACCUGGGGAGUACGCCGGCAACGGUGAAACUCAAAGGAAUUGACGGGGGCCCGCACAAGCGGAGGAACAUGUGGUUUAAUUCGAUGAUACGCGAGGAACCUUACCCGGGCUUGAAC